UGUCUACCAAAGAAAACGUCCCCAACUGAGAGACUUUAAUCAUUAUGUACCUAGAAAAAUGCACAUAGCAUUUCAACAUCAUUAAAAUCCUCGUAGGCUUCAACUCGAUUGGACGGCCAACAUUAUCUUCCGGCUUCAACGCACGCCCUCCGCUACAACGCACGCCCUCCACCUCCACAGGCCCUCGCCCACUGCCUGCCAGGGAUCAAAUCCCACAGGCACCGAACGCUCUUUUCCUCCGAGAAAAAUAAAUCAUAAACAUUUUCAUUGUUUCCUUAAUUACGUAGAUCUCAACACAAGCCAAUCCACCCUGGCCGAUGGCCCUCGCCGCGUCCCUAGCAAUGCUGCUGCUCCUCUGCCGCCGCCUCGCCACCACUUGCUCCGUGGCCACCGCGUGGGACACGCCAUAACUGGCUGCGAUAAUUGGAUCUCCGCGCACGCCGACCAGGGCAUUGGACUCCUCCCGAACCCUAGCUGCGGCGCCUCCACUGCCUCCAACUACAAGGUCGGCAUCGACGACGAUGACUUCGAGGCUGUUGUGCGUAGGAUUUAGGUAGGCACACAUGUUUCCCAAAACAGAACUCGCUCGACCUCCUUCAGCCCAUCUUCCCAACCAUGACGGCGGCAGGCCAAGCGGACGUCUGGCAGCAACUGCGGAGUGCGGCGCACGGGCGGCCCCUGCCUCGCACGCCUACCACCCUUUGGCUUGGUGGGCAUCAGACAAUAAUUUCGAUGGACAGCCUCACUAUCUCAGGAGUGUGACUUACUUCACUCUACACCCAACCAGAAGUCAAGUGUGCUUGCUUUGCUGCUUCAAUCUAAAUAUCAGGCUUGGUUUAUUUUCUUACCAUGUGGGUUUCUUUUUAUAUCAAUUCAGUUUGGGCCUUACUUGGGAGAUACUGAAUGUCACUGGUACCUUUCAAAGUAUCACUAAAACACAUGGGAGGACAGGGACUUUGGCUGUUUAGCCCAAGGAACUAAUCCGUUCACACAGGUUGCCUAUUGUCAUAAUUCAGAAAAUGGUAUAUGCCCAUCUUUAUAUAUUGAUGAAAUCAAUGCUAACUGUAUUGAAUAGCCUCUGUUUUGUGUAAUUGAGUAAUGCUAACUUGUACUGCUUGCCAAAAACCUUUGUUUCAUAAAGAGAGAACAUUUGAUACGGAGAGAGUUAGAAAGUUGCAGGUGCAAGAUUCAGAUAGUGAUUUGGUGACAAUUGUUUAUUAUAUGAUUGUACAUAAAACUGCAUUGAAUUGACUGAGCUUGACAUAGUUCAGUCAGAUUCUUUCCUACUCCCCUUACUUUUUUUCUUCUUUUGUUUCACGUGUUUAACAACAGUGUUCGGAGGGCAUCUGUGUCGUGACAAGCUCAAAGGUAGCUCACCUAUGCAUGGAUUGGAAGUGGAUUUUAUUAACAACCAAGAAACCAUUGUCUACCCAUGUGUACAAGACUAAUAGAUUGAUCACUAGAGUAUGAUGAGUGAUUCAUUUCAGCAAUCGUGUAACAAAAUCAGCAAUGAUCUUUGGUUACCUCUGAUAGAUGGAAUGUAAUCUGAAAUCAUUUAUAUUGUUUUAAGCUGACAAUCAGUACUUUGACAUCAAUUUUGUUCAUGUAGGCUUAUAUAAUACUUUUUCAAUAAAGUUGAAUGUA